GCGUGUGACCCUUCGGGGACCUUACACAGGUGCUGCAUGGCCGUCGUCAGCUCGUGUCGUGAGAUGUUUGGUUAAGUCCAGCAACGAGCGCAACCCCUGUGAAUAGUUGCCAGCACGUAAUGGUGGGGACUCUAUUCAGACUGCCCAGGUCAACUGGGAGGAAGGUGGGGAUGACGUCAGGUCAGUAUGGCCCUUACGCCUUGGGCUGCACACGUACUACAAUGCCCAGUACAAUGAGAACCGAUACCGCGAGGUGGAGGAAAUCUGCAAAACUGGGCCCAGUUCGGAUUGGAGGCUGCAACUCGCCUCCAUGAAGUUGGAAUCGCUAGUAAUGGCACAUCAGCUACGGUGCCGUGAAUACGUUCCCGGGUCUUGUACACACCG
rnacentral:rRNA from 1 species